rnacentral:rRNA from 1 species
UUCGUAGGCGGGAUUUUAAGUCAGUGGUGAAAGCCUAUAGCUCAACUAUAGAAUUGCCAUUGAUACUGAAGUUCUUGAGUACACUUGAAGUUAGCGGAAUGUAUCAUGUAGCGGUGAAAUGCAUAGAUAUGAUACAGAACACCAAUUGCGAAGGCAGCUAACUAAAUUGUCACUGACGCUGAGGAACGAAAGCGUGGGGAGCGAACAGGAUUAGAUACCCUGGUAGUCC